AGGGGUAUAGCUCAGAGGUAGAGUGCGUGCUUAGCAUGUACAAAGUCCUAGAUUCAAUCCCUGGUACCUCCA
rnacentral:tRNA from 1 species